rnacentral:rRNA from 1 species
UACGGGAGGCAGCAGUGGGGAAUAUUGCACAAUGGGCGCAAGCCUGAUGCAGCCAUGCCGCGUGUAUGAAGAAGGCCUUCGGGUUGUAAAGUACUUUCAGUCGUGAGGAAGGUGUUAAGGUUAAUAACCUUAGCAAUUGACGUUAGCGACAGAAGAAGCACCGGCUAACUCCGUGCCAGCAGCCGCGGUAAUACGGAGGGUGCGAGCGUUAAUCGGAAUUACUGGGCGUAAAGGGCACGCAGGCGGUUAAUUAAGUUGGAUGUGAAAUCCCCGGGCUUAACCUGGGAAUGGCAUUCAAGACUGGUUAGCUAGAGUCUUGUAGAGGGGGUAGAAUUCCAUGUGUAGCGGUGAAAUGCGUAGAGAUGUGGAGGAAUACCGGUGGCGAAGGCGGCCCCUGGGACAAGACUGACGCUCAUGUGCGAAAGCGUGGGGAGCAAACGAGGGAUUAGAUACC